UUUCUUCUAUUCUUCUCUCUAUACGUUAGUGUUCUAACCAAUAAUCACCGAUGCGAUGUUCUGUCCGAUCGAUUCAGGAACCAUCUAAUAAAUGCCAAAGUGCUGUACUUUGUGAAUUUCGGUAAACGGAAUCCAAAGUGCUAUACUUUGUGAAUUUUGUUAAGGUUCGAAUCUCGUGACUACCGUUAAGGUUUGAUUUGGGUUUUACACAAAUACGUAUUCCAUUCUGUUAAACUAUAUGUUUAACCACCAGAAUACUCCCAACUACACACUUACAAUCAAACAAGCUGUUAAAUCAUCAGAAAAUUCAGAACAAUAAAGUAUACGCUUAAUUAUCAGAAGGAAUAGAAUCAAGAAGCUUGCUAAAUCAUGCUUAUACUGUAAUUACAGUAGAUCGGAAUAAGAGUUGGAUACGGCACCAAAAAGGCUUACAGAAGUGGCUUGAUUUAUCAAUUAAAUUAA
rnacentral:lncRNA from 1 species